rnacentral:piRNA from 1 species
UCCUUGCAGAGCCGGAGAACGGGAUGCGUC